CGCCAUUACGCCGUGCCUCAUCGGUGGGAUCUUCUCGGCGGCACUUUUCCGGCCCGAUACAGGACUUCGAGCUCCUGCUGGGGACAUCGAGGCUGAGCAGCAACCCAGAGGCUGCUAGCGCGGCUUGCCACACGACUGGUCCUGGCGUGUUCAGCCGAAGAGUCAGUUCCACGGACACAAGCGUCACAGGCAGUGGAGUUGCUUGGCCCAGGCUGGACUCUAGAUCGCCGUGGAGAUCAAGGAGGGCGCAGCUCUCACAGGAAGAGACUGGCUGUAUCAGCUCCGGCUCAACUGGACGAGCCUCAGCCACGUGGAUGCAGAAGACCACCGGGCCUAGGGACAAGUCUUGGACCGACAUCGCCAGUUGUUCAACGAUGGGCUCAGCGCAGUGGCGUACCAACUUGUUUUUGAG